GACGAACGCUGGCGGCGUGCCUAAUACAUGCAAGUAGAACGCUGAAGGAGGAGCUUGCUUCUCCGGAUGAGUUGCGAACGGGUGAGUAACGCGUAGGUAACCUGCCUGGUAGCGGGGGAUAACUAUUGGAAACGAUAGCUAAUACCGCAUAAGAGUAGAUGUCGCAUGACAUUUGCUUAAAAGGUGCAACUGCACCACUACCAGAUGGACCUGCGUUGUAUUAGCUAGUUGGUGAGGUAACGGCUCACCAAGGCAACGAUACAUAGCCGACCUGAGAGGGUGAUCGGCCACACUGGGACUGAGACACGGCCCAGACUCCUACGGGAGGCAGCAGUAGGGAAUCUUCGGCAAUGGACGGAAGUCUGACCGAGCAACGCCGCGUGAGUGAAGAAGGUUUUCGGAUCGUAAAGCUCUGUUGUAAGAGAAGAACGAGUGUGAGAGUGGAAAGUUCACACUGUGACGGUAUCUUAACAGAAAGGGACGGCUAACUACGUG
rnacentral:rRNA from 1 species